CUCUGUUUCAGAUGAUUCAGGGCAAAGGAG
ncrna:Brochothrix thermosphacta DSM 20171 = FSL F6-1036 L31-Firmicutes ribosomal protein leader